UACAGGGGGUGCAAGCGUUGUUCGGAAUUACUGGGCGUAAAGCGCGGGCAGGUGGCCUUUUAAGUCCUUUGUGAAAUCCCGGAGCUCAACUCCGGAUGUGCAUAGGAUACUGGAAGGCUUGGGACUGGUAGAGGCGAGCGGAAUUCCUGGUGUAGCGGUGGAAUGCGUAGAUAUCAGGAAGAACACCGGUGGCGAAGGCGGCUCGCUGGGCCAGAUCCGACACUCAUCCGCGAAAGCGUGGGGAGCGAACAGG
rnacentral:rRNA from 1 species